GAGUUCAAGAGUACGUGAAACUGCUUAGAGGUUAAGCCCGAUGAACCUGAAUAUCCGUUAUGGAAAAUUCAUCACUAAUAAUAUGAUAUUAACAAAUAUUAUAUGAAUGGUGUGCAAUUUUUCCAUAUAAGGACAUUGUAAUCUGUUAAUGUAUUAAAUAUUUAUUAAAAGAUCUUAUACAUAAGUUUAUUCAAAUUAGUCAUUUUCGGAUUUCUAACAUAGAAUAAAUGUAUUGGAUUUAAUAAAUCAUUGACAGAUUUAUUUGUAUAUAGCGCUUAAAUUUUGAAAGAAAUUUUACAAUAAUAUAUUAAUUCAAUUUAUUAUAUUUAUUGUAUGCGCUUAUAUGAUUGACAAUGCGAUAGAUUCAGGAUACCUUCGGGACCCGUCUUGAAACACGGACCAAGGAGUCUAACAUAUGUGCAAGUCAUUGGGUAUUUUUAAUAAAACCCAAUGGCAUAAUUAACUUAACUGUUUUUAAAUGGGAUUAGUUUAUAUUUUAUUAUGAAAUUUGAAUUCAAUCCCGGGGCGUUCUAUACAGUUAUGUAUAAUGAUAUUUAUAUUGGUUAUACCUCUAACUAGAGC
rnacentral:rRNA from 1 species